CCGGGUGGUAGCGGACGGUGACCGCGCCGCCCGCGAGGGGCGGCAGCCGGCGCGGCAGCAUCGUCGCCUGCAGCCCGGUC
rnacentral:tRNA from 1 species